rnacentral:tRNA from 1 species
AAUAAGGUGGCUGAGGAUUAGGCGUUAGAUUGUAAAUCUAAGUAGAAGUUUAAAAACUUUCUUAUUA